rnacentral:rRNA from 1 species
CAAGCGAUAGGUAAGGGCAUCUGGUGAAUGCCUUGGCAAUCAGAGGCGAAGAAGGACGUGAUACACUGCGAAAAGCCGUGGGGAGCUGUGAAUAGGCAUUGAUCCGCGGAUCUCCGAAUGGGGAAACCCACAGAGUAAUCUGUAUCAAUAUCUGAAUCUAUAGGGUAUUGAAGCGAACGCAGGGAACUGAAACAUCUAAGUACCUGUAGGAAAGGAAAUCAACUGAGACUCCGAGAGUAGUGGCGAGCGAAAUCGGACCAGCCAAUUUGCGAUUAGAUAAGAACCGGAAGUGUCUGGGAAGGCACAUCAUAGAGGGUGAUAGUCCCGUACGGGUAGAAAGUUUAAUUGUAAGAGAGUAGGGCGGAGCACGAGAAAUUCUGUCUGAAGAUAGGUCGACCACGAUCUAAGGCUAAGUACUACUGAUUGACCGAUAGUGAACCAGUACCGUGAGGGAAAGGUGAAAAGCACCCCGACAAGGGGAGUGAAAGAGAACCUGAAACCGGAUGCCUACAAGCAGUCGGAGGGGCAUUAAGCCCUGACGGCGUACCUUUUGUAUAAUGGGUCAGCGAGUUAGUUUAUGUAGCAAGCAUAAGCCGAUAGGUGGAUGCGUAGCGAAAGCGAGUGUUAAUAGCGCGUUAAGUUACAUGAAUUAGACCCGAAACCGAGUGAUCUAGCCAUGAACAGGUUGAAGGUUGGGUAACACCAACUGGAGGACCGAACCCACUCCCGUUGAAAAGGUAGGGGAUGAUUUGUGGCUAGGGGUGAAAGGCCAAUCAAACUCGGAAAUAGCUGGUUCUCCGCGAAAACUAUUUAGGUAGUGCGGUAGGCGAACACCAUGAGGGGUAGAGCACUGAAAGAGCUAAGGGGGAGCGAUCCUUACUAAACUUUAUCAAACUCCGAAUACUCAUGAGUGAUACUUACCAGACAGACAGUAGGUGCUAAGGUCUAUUGUCGAGAGGGAAAGAGCCCAGACCGUCAACUAAGGUCCCUAAAUUAUGGCUAAGUGGUAAAGGAAGUGGGAUAUCCAAAACAGUCAGGAGGUUGGCUUAGAAGCAGCCAUCCUUUAAAGAAAGCGUAAUAGCUCACUGAUCUAAAUAAGACGUCCUGCGCCGAAGAUGUAACGGGGCUAAAGCCAUAUACCGAAGUUACGGGAUUGUAUUGCAAUAGAUACAAUCGGUAGCGGAGCGUUCUGUAGGCCUGCGAAGGUAAACCGUAAGGUUUGCUGGAGGUAUCAGAAGUGCGAAUGCUGACAUGAGUAGCGAAAAGAAGAGUGAGAGACUCUUCCGCUGAAAGUCCAAGGUUUCCUGCGUAAAGCUAAUCUGCGCAGGGUUAGUCGGCCCCUAAGGCGAGGCAGAGAUGCGUAGCUGAUGGGAACACGGUUAAUAUUCCGUGACCAGUUAGGAAGUGACGGAUACAGUAGUUUGUACAUGCUUAAUGGAUUGUGUGUGCAAGUGAUGUGUCCCGGGAAAUAGCCCUAACGAAGACCGUACCCGAAACCGACACAGGUGGACAGGUAGAGUAUACCAAAGCGCUUGAGAGAACUAUGUUGAAGGAACUAGGCAAAAUGCUUGUGUAACUUCGGGAUAAGCAAGCCCGGUUUUAAGGCAACUUAAGGCCGGGGGCACAUACUAGGGGGUAGCGACUGUUUAACAAAAACACAGGACUCUGCGAAAUUGAAAGAUGAAGUAUAGGGUCUGACGCCUGCCCGGUGCCGGAAGGUUAAGGAGAGAUGUGAGAGCAUUGAACUGAAGCCCCGGUAAACGGCGGCCGUAACUAUAACGGUCCUAAGGUAGCGAAAUUCCUUGUCAGGUAAG